CUAGAGACUGUCAUACAGAGUGAAUCUCAAGAAUUGGAGAUGGUCUAGAUAAGAUAAAGAAUGAAAGCUCCCAAACAAGGAAAAGGUAAUGGAAUGUAAAAC